UUAAGCGACUAAGCGUACACGGUGGAUGCCCUGGCAGUCAGAGGCGAUGAAGGACGUGCUAAUCUGCGAUAAGCGUCGGUAAGGUGAUAUGAACCGUUAUAACCGGCGAUUUCCGAAUGGGGAAACCCAGUGUGAUUCGUCACACUAUCGUUAAGUGAAUACAUAGCUUAACGAAGCGAACCGGGGGAACUGAAACAUCUAAGUACCCCGAGGAAAAGAAAUCAACCGAGAUUCCCCCAGUAGCGGCGAGCGAACGGGGAGUAGCCCAGAACCUGAAUCAGUUUGUGUGUUAGUGGAAGCGUCUGGAAAGUCGCAGGGUACAGGGUGAUACUCCCGUACACUAAAAUGCACAGACUGUGAGUUCGAAGAGUAGGGCGGGACACGUGGUAUCCUGUCUGAAUAUGGGGGGACCAUCCUCCAAGGCUAAAUACUCCUGACUGACCGAUAGUGAACCAGUACCGUGAGGGAAAGGCGAAAAGAACCCCGGCGAGGGGAGUGAAACAGAACCUGAAACGUGUACGUACAAGCAGUGGGAGCCUCUUUUAUGGGGUGACUGCGUACCUUUUGUAUAAUGGGUCAGCGACUUAUAUUCUGUAGCAAGGUUAACCGUAUAGGGGAGCCGCAGGGAAACCGAGUCUUAACUGGGCGUUAAGUUGCAGGGUAUAGACCCGAAACCCGGUGAUCUAGCCAUGGGCAGGUUGAAGGUUGGGUAACACUAACUGGAGGACCGAACCGACUAAUGUUGAAAAAUUAGCGGAUGACUUGUGGCUGGGGGUGAAAGGCCAAUCAAACCGGGAGAUAGCUGGUUCUCCCCGAAAGCUAUUUAGGUAGCGCCUCGUGAAUUCAUCUUCGGGGGUAGAGCACUGUUUCGGCUAGGGGGUCAUCCCGACUUACCAACCCGAUGCAAACUACGAAUACCGAAGAAUGUUAUCACGGGAGACACACGGCGGGUGCUAACGUCCGUCGUGAAGAGGGAAACAACCCAGACCGCCAGCUAAGGUCCCAAAGUCAUGGUUAAGUGGGAAACGAUGUGGGAAGGCACAGACAGCCAGGAUGUUGGCUUAGAAGCAGCCAUCAUUUAAAGAAAGCGUAAUAGCUCACUGGUCGAGUCGGCCUGCGCGGAAGAUGUAACGGGGCUAAACCAUGCACCGAAGCUGCGGCAGCGACGCUCAGGCGUUGUUGGGUAGGGGAGCGUUCUGUAAGCCGUUGAAGGUGGCCUGUGAGGGUUGCUGGAGGUAUCAGAAGUGCGAAUGCUGACAUAAGUAACGAUAAAGCGGGUGAAAAGCCCGCUCGCCGGAAGACCAAGGGUUCCUGUCCAACGUUAAUCGGGGCAGGGUGAGUCGACCCCUAAGGCGAGGCCGAAAGGCGUAGUCGAUGGGAAACAGGUUAAUAUUCCUGUACUCGGUGUUACUGCGAAGGGGGGACGGAGAAGGCUAUGUUAGCCGGGCGACGGUUGUCCCGGUUUAAGCAUGUAGGCGGAGAGUUUAGGUAAAUCCGGACUCUUGUUAACGCUGAGGUGUGAUGACGAGCACUACGGUGCUGAAGUAACAAAUGCCCUGCUUCCAGGAAAAGCCUCUAAGCAUCAGGUAACAUCAAAUCGUACCCCAAACCGACACAGGUGGUCAGGUAGAGAAUACCAAGGCGCUUGAGAGAACUCGGGUGAAGGAACUAGGCAAAAUGGUGCCGUAACUUCGGGAGAAGGCACGCUGAUGGUAAGUGAAGUGACUUGCUCACGGAGCUGAAAUCAGUCGAAGAUACCAGCUGGCUGCAACUGUUUAUUAAAAACACAGCACUGUGCAAACACGAAAGUGGACGUAUACGGUGUGACGCCUGCCCGGUGCCGGAAGGUUAAUUGAUGGGGUUAUCCGUAAGGAGAAGCUCUUGAUCGAAGCCCCGGUAAACGGCGGCCGUAACUAUAACGGUCCUAAGGUAGCGAAAUUCCUUGUCGGGUAAGUUCCGACCUGCACGAAUGGCGUAAUGAUGGCCAGGCUGUCUCCACCCGAGACUCAGUGAAAUUGAACUCGCUGUGAAGAUGCAGUGUACCCGCGGCAAGACGGAAAGACCCCGUGAACCUUUACUAUAGCUUGACACUGAACAUUGAGCCUUGAUGUGUAGGAUAGGUGGGAGGCUUUUGAAGCGUGGACGCCCAGUCUGCGUGGAGCCAACCUUGAAAUACCACCCUUUAAUGUUUGAUGUUCUAACGUAGACCCGUGAUCCCGGGUUGCGGACAGUGUCUGGGUGGGUAGUUUGACUGGGGCGGUCUCCUCCCAAAGAGUAACGGAGGAGCACGAAGGUUAGCUAAUCCUGGUCGGACAUCAGGAGGUUAGUGCAAUGGCAUAAGCUAGCUUGACUGCGAGCGUGACGGCGCGAGCAGGUGCGAAAGCAGGUCAUAGUGAUCCGGUGGUUCUGAAUGGAAGGGCCAUCGCUCAACGGAUAAAAGGUACUCCGGGGAUAACAGGCUGAUACCGCCCAAGAGUUCAUAUCGACGGCGGUGUUUGGCACCUCGAUGUCGGCUCAUCACAUCCUGGGGCUGAAGUAGGUCCCAAGGGUACGGCUGUUCGCCGUUUAAAGUGGUACGCGAGCUGGGUUUAGAACGUCGUGAGACAGUUCGGUCCCUAUCUGCCGUGGGCGCUGGAGAAUUGAGGGGGGCUGCUCCUAGUACGAGAGGACCGGAGUGGACGCAUCACUGGUGUUCGGGUUGUCAUGCCAAUGGCAUUGCCCGGUAGCUAAAUGCGGAAAAGAUAAGUGCUGAAAGCAUCUAAGCACGAAACUUGCCCCGAGAUGAGUUCUCCCUGACUCCUUGAGAGUCCUGAAGGAACGUUGAAGACGAACGACGUUGAUAGGUCGGGUGUGUAAGCGUAGCGAUACGUUGAGCUAACCGAUACUAAUGAACCGUGAGGCUUAACCUU
rnacentral:rRNA from 1 species